rnacentral:rRNA from 1 species
CCUACGGGUGGCAGCAGUGAGGAAUAUUGGUCAAUGGACGAGAGUCUGAACCAGCCAAGUAGCGUGAAGGAUGACUGCUCUAUGGGUUGUAAAUUUCUUUUAUAUGGGAAUAAAACAGGGUAUGCAUACCCUCUUGUAUGUACCAUACUACUAACGAUCGGCUAACUUCGUGCCAGCAGCCGCGGUAAUACGGAGGUUGCGAGCGUUAUACGGAUUUAUUGGGUUUAAGGGGAGCGUAGAUGGGUGGAUAAGUCAGUUGUGAAAGUUGGCGGCUCAACCUUAAAACUGCAGUUGAAACUGGCAGUCUUGAGUACAGUAGAGGUGGGCGGAAUUCGUGGUGUAGCGGUGAAAUGCUUAGAUAUCACGAAGAACUCCGAUGGCGAAGGCAGCUCACUGGACGGCAACUGACACUGAUGCGCGAAAGUGUGGGUAUCAAACAGGAUUAGAUACCCUGGUAGUC